UCAAGUUUAGAUGCACGAGAUCUCAGCUUAGCCGUCCAGUACUCUCCAGUGUUGACCCCUUUGUCAGUCCUGUAGACACAAUAAUGUGGAGCAGUUCUUUGGAGACCACAGUGACAUGACCCAGUAGCCCUGUGGAGACCACAGUGACAUGACCCAGUAGCUCUGUGGAGACCACAGUGACAUGACCCAGUAGCUCUGUGGAGACCACAGUGACAUCACCCUGUAGCUCUGUGGAGACCACAGUGACAUCACCCUGUAGCUCUGUGGAGACCACAGUGACAUCACCCAGUAGCUCUGUGGAGACCACAGUGACAUCACCCAGUAGCUCUGUGGAGACCACAGUGACAUCACCAGUAGCUCUGUGGAGACCACAGUGACAUCACCCAGUAGCUCUGUGGAGACCGCAGUGACAUCACCAAUAGCUCUGUGGAGACCACAGUGACAUCACCAAUAGCUCUGUGGAGACCGCAGUGACAUCACCAGUAGCUCUGUGGAGACCACAGUGACAUCACCCAGUAGCUCUGUGGAGACCACAGUGACAUCACCCAGUAGCUCUGUGGAGACCACAGUGACAUGACCCAGUAGCUCUGUGGAGACCACAGUGACAUCACCCAGUAGCUCUGUGGAGACCACAGUGACAUCACCCAGUAGCUCUGUGGAGACCACAGUGACAUCACCAGUACCUGUGUGGAAGAUUUUCAGAACUUCUCUGUAGUAGAAUUCUCAGUUUUAUGAAGUUCUUAAAGAACAGAAGAAACAGAGGUCUAGUUAUCUGUUUGUCACUGGAGGCAGUUUAGAUAAAGGUGUGCUUACUUGGACAUUCCUCUUUGCUCCUAGUGUCGUAUUGUCUAUUUCAUUUGUCCUCUGGGGUGUAAUUGAAGGGUCUUUGGAAGAAGUGAUCAUGUGUGUGACUGUUAAUCUUCUGAGGAUUGUACUAGUUCCGACUUUCUUCAAUGUGAAGAACUCAGUUUUCAUCGGUUUCUCAAUAAUUCAUUUUGUUGUGUUAACUGAGAUGUGGUCUGUUCCUCUGUGGGAGUAUUUCAAGAGCCACACACCAGACACAGCUGUUACAGCAGGUAUUGGACUGGCCUGUGCCUCAUCACUGCUCUCCUAUCUCUGUGGGGUUUUUAUUCAAGGUAAGAACACCUGCUUUCUCAGAUCCAGGAGAGAGAGAUUCGGUGUGAAGAGCUCAGAUCUAGCCUCUCUCCUUGCUAGGUUUCAGUUCCAGAACACAUGGAGCGAUGUGAUGGAGAUACAGUAGAGAAAGAAUCCCAGACUGCACUGGGAGGGAUGAGAACAGACUCUCACAAUCUCUCUCCGACAGACACUCGAUAAGAACAAGGAGU